CAAGGUGUGUUUUAGGUUAAGUACCUGUAAUAAAAGGUGCACGGCACGACUGCGGUUGACAAGGUGCUUCUUCUUCGGCGUAUUAUUGACUCGUGGCAAUUCACGGUAAGACGUUCCCCAUAUUCGAACGAGGUCAAGAGUAGUCAUCUCCGUGGUUUGGUUCGUUUUCGUUACCGUGGAGUGGAGGGUACCGAGAACGAGGUCAAGAACGAUGAUGAAGACCCCCAUAGUAGACGACGAGUUCGUGUUCACUUGUAGUGGAACCCGAGGAGGAACUUCGGGGUCCCCGGUUUGUCGAGUACCGAGAGCGGGAGGCCGCUGAAGCGCAAGCCAAAGGCCGGUGACCUUCAAUUGGGGAGGAGUAUGGAGGAGCGGCAGACCAAGCUGUUCUAGGGACUCUUCUGUCAGCGAACCAUACGGUUCUCGUCGAGGCUGCCAGUUCUCAGUGGCCACGUUCACGGUAGGUCGAGGCACGACGUUGAGUGGUGACUGCCCAACGAGAGCGAAGCGUUGGGUAGGCCGCUACUUCAGACCUCAGGAGCCCGGGGACCACACCGGAUGCGGUUUUACGAGCUGUGCCCACUGAAGUACGAACAGCCGCGUCUACCGUGCCGUUUCACCCUCUGGAAACCACAGGGCCGACUAUGGUAGGACGGGUAUGUUCACGAGGCACACCCAGGUCUCCUGUUCGAUGAGUCUUCGGCAGAGUAGUUGUGUCUGAUGAGGUUGCCGGCCAAAGAGGAUCGACACGUUUGACUACCAUUAGAACACGACAUAAGUUACCGACUCGUAAGGUGUGAACUGAUGCCAGGUAUGACCCGUUGAUACUGUCAAUCCUUGCCGAGUGCCAACCACAAGUUACUUUGUCCGUCCUAUAUGAAGUGGAACUUUUUACACUGUGUCUAGUUACAAUGAAGUCGUCCCCCGUUGAGUUACCCACUAAAGAAGUUAGCACGGUGCGAACUAGGUCUACCACACAAAGCCGUCAUACACAUGGGUUUCUCGUCUUUCCGGUCUUCAGAUACCUCGAACGUUACCUUCCGCCACUCGAGUUAGGGACUCCUGUAGACGCUUUGUCAUUACCAUUUACGUCCGUCACCACGUACGCCGAAGUUGUCGAUGACGUGGAAACUACCGUGGUUCUUAGUCUGUUCGACGGAUACGGGACUUGUAAUGUUCAAGAAGCUACUCCUCUCCCUCAUGUUUCCCACGUCCGGACUGAAACACGGUGUUUCAACACUGGAACUACUCUAUCGUCGUUACCGCGUCAAACUCUACUGAUGCUAGCUAGCACAACUAACCGGAUUGACACUGAUACUCGUUAUGGCGGGGUAUCUGCUCUGUCUCACGGCCUCCGACACACACUAACUAACGAAGACACGGCGUCGCCAGAAACUAGGUUUGUGUUUUUGGACGACCUUCUUUUUCGAGGGAAAUAGUUUACCUUUAUACCGUGUUUGACAGGUCUCCUGCCAAGACUAGUUCCACGGAUCCUCGUUGUUAAGUCUCAGGGUCGAGUCGUCACCGAGAUCGUUUACCUUCUUCCUGUUCUUCAUAACCUAAGAACCCUCAAGGAACAAAAAACCCUCAAGCCAUAACGAUUUGGAAGAGGAAUAGAGAUAAGACGAGAAACCGUGAAUGACCCCAUAAAGGUAGUGGAGUUUUUUCUUUGAGGCCAGUGGCGUUAGCAGUCCAUCAAGAUAUAACGGGGGUUUUGAAAAGUGAAUGUCACUUGACCUCUUCCGUUGGUCACCAAAGGUACUCCACGAUCCGUCGCCACGGAGACCAUGACACAUGUUUCCUUUCGACGUUCUACUCGUACGCUGGUUGUAACGUCAGUUCUUUUAACUUUUUGAGGUCGUUCUCUGACUCUUCCUUAAGUACCACCUUCACGUUUGGUAGCCCGUCUGCAAAGUGUUCUUGAACCAGUCCGACGAACCGUACACGUUGCUCCCUUGAGUGGCUGACGAUCAAAUACUCAAGUACUGGUUCCCGAGCGAGUUACUAAAGGAGAAGCCACUACGAGCCGGUCUAACCUUGGAGGCACACGUUCAGCGUGAACCUCACCGUGCUCCCGAAGAGAUGAACGUACUUCUCACGUCGUGCGUCUAAUAGGUGACGCUGUAUUUUGGUGUCUUGUAGGAAGAGCUACUGUUGAAGUACCGUUUCUAUCGUCUGAAACCGGACCGUUUCGAAGAAGCUCGGUUAGUCUGUGUUUGUUUGUGGCCGUAGGCCCCGUGAGCUCCAAUGCAACGGGGUCUCACCAAGUUCUUGUAUCGCUAGUGAAGGUUUCAGCUACAAAUGUCGAAACCACACUAGGACGACCUCGAACACACGACGUCCUCCUUACACCUCCAUCUCUAGCGGCUGCUUCUAGACCGCUAUGAUUGAAUGACCCGUUUGCUGACAAUGUCCACACCCUCCUAGUUGAACGAACACCUCCCACUGCUACUUCGUUAGAAGUUGUAUUUUUUCCGUCUCGCGAAGCACCGACAUCGUGAAACCACGGAAGUCCUCCUCGGUUGCUACGCCGGUUGGUACGAAUUUCACUGUGUUUACGAACUACCUCGUCAGGUUUAGGGGUAUGGAGGCCUAGGGAGAAGGAAGUAGUCAAGUGAAGGCAUCAGGCACGAACAAUUGUUUACUCAACACCGUACUUCGUUCUAAUACGUUAUGUACCUAUUAGACUUUGACAAAAGGUAACUUCGAAGUGUCAAUUACCAUUUAUAUCAUAAAGUCCGUGAAUACAAAUCGACUUGUUUAUCGUAGUGACUACGUAGACAUAGAAAAAAGAAAAAUACACUUUGUAGACAUAGAAAAAAAGCAUUCGUCGGCAUAUAGAUAAAUAUACGGAUAAAUAUAGAAACUUAGGCCCAAAAAAGUUUGUAAGAGAUGUUACGGAGCAUUUGUUUUUCUUUUGUAAGAGAUCUGAUCUUUUUCCCAUCUCCACUGAUAUAUUAUGUAUACUAAUCAUUGAUUAUCUUCAAAGGAUGUCGAUGUACCAGGCCCGGUGACCGUAGAGGAGGAGGAGGAGGAGGAGGAGGAGGAGGAAGAAGAAGAUAAUCAGACGU
rnacentral:rRNA from 1 species